AAAUAAAAAUUCAGUGUUUAUUGAGUCUAUUCAAUUAAAUAAAAAUAUAUAAGUUGGGUCAACUUUUUAUUUUAAAGAGUGAGCAACCUUCUUACCAAAAAAAAAAGAAGUCGAAAGCAUUUUCAAUCCCAUGACCCGAAGUAACUUAGCAUCUGACAAUAUUAUAAACUUAUUGCAUCAAUUUUUAACAUGCUAAAUCCCAACUGGCAGUCCUAUAAACAUCGAUGAGAAAGCUAAAAUAAUUAAAAGAAAUCAAUAUAAUGCCCAGCAAGAAGCAUUUUCUGUCCAGUAAGCUCAAUUCCUCCUUUUUUAUAACUCCAAUAUAACCACCAACAGAAGACUUUGAUACUAGUUAUGAACAAAGAAAAAAAAGAAUUAAAGUAUGAAGUUUAAGACUAUUUCAUGUCUGUUUAUUAUCAGUUAAAUAAAGGCAAACGAAGCCGUCACAUAUGAAUUUCUAAGCACUAAAUAGAGAUAAACAUGUUAGAUACACACACUCUUUUACUUUGAAUUCUAAUAGUGAUACAAUGAAACUAAUCCAAUUUGCUACAAACUAACAAUCAAAUAUAAGGAUUCCAUAACUCCAGAAUUUAUCGAACAACUAAAAAAUAGAAUAAGAAGUAGAAGAAACCAAAACGAUUUCAAGUUAUUAAUAAUUUCUCUAUUUUUCUUAAUGAUUUUGCAUUCUAGGAGUCAUUCAUAAAGCUCACAAACUUCAGCUUACUAAAGUAUUCAACUGCUGAUUUUUUAUUCAAAAUAAGUCCUUUUGGAUAGAUUUUGGUUCACCAAAAAUCUAUCCAAAAGGACCAACUUUUAUGUUCCAAAACAGUCCACUUUUCACCAAAAUCUGACACAAAUCAAGAUAGUUAUAAUUUUUCAACAUGCUAAAACAGUAAAACAAACUAACAUGUACUUGUUUCAUGAUUAACACAUUCUAACUUAUAAAUUUACAACAAAUAGUACCAUCCUAUUAGAUUCAAACUAAACCAAAUAAACAAAUCAACUAAUCAUUCACUAAUUGAACUGCUAAAGCAAACACACACUUAGAUUGUAACUAGAAUGAGGAUUCAAAUGAACUAGAUCAAAUCAAUUCAACCUACACAAGUUAAGAUAAAGCUACUAGUACUACAAUCUAUUAUAUAAAGCAGAAGUUAAACAACAAAUUAUUGAGUCAUCGAUAAAAGAUAACAUCGACGAAAUGAUUUGUACACUGAUUCGCUAACACUAAUAAUAAUCGCUGUUCAAGCCACGAGAAGAUGCCAGAAAUUUGAAGCUCUAGCUUCCUGAACCUAAAAUACUCAUUUCACUCCGGCAAAUGCUAAAACUAGGGCUUCCAACAUUAUGCCAGAAGGAAAAGAGGAUUCUCGGGUCGAAAGAAACGAAGAUGGAGAAGCAGUGGUGGAGGCGGCGGGCAGUGGGUGGUCGACGGUGGCUGGCCAAAGUUUGCUGGAUUUUGGAGGGGUUUGGAAGGUUUUGGGGUGGGGAAUGGAGAAGAGGAGAGUGAGAGGAUGCCAGUUGUAUAAAAUUUUCGGAGAUUGGGGUAGUGAGCGGCAGCUAGGGUUUUGGUUAAGCUUAGAUUUAUGGAGAUUGAGAGGGGUUAUGGGAAUUUGGGGUUCAGAUUCAUGGAGAGGAGGUUGAGAGGAAGAAUUGGUGAAAGUUUGGGGUCAUUUGGAAGCUAGCCGCCGCCGGUGGCGAAUUCCGACGGCGGUGCCGUCGUGGAUGGCCUGCUGCAACGGAGAGGAAUGAAGAGAGUGAGGAGAGGAGUUUAGGGUUUGGGUUGGAUGUGUAAAUGAAGUCCAAAUAUUUGAUUUUAGGGG
rnacentral:lncRNA from 1 species